AUUGAACGCUGGCGGAAUGCUUUACACAUGCAAGUCGAACGGCAGCACGGGAGCAAUCCUGGUGGCGAGUGGCGAACGGGUGAGUAAUACAUCGGAACGUGCCCAGUAGUGGGGGAUAACCCGGCGAAAGCCGGACUAAUACCGCAUACGACCUACGGGUGAAAGCAGGGGAUCGCAAGACCUUGCGCUAUCGGAGCGGCCGAUGUCAGAUUAGCUUGUUGGCGGGUAAAAGCCCACCAAGGCGACGAUCUGUAGCUGGUCUGAGAGGACGACCAGCCACACUGGGACUGAGACACGGCCCAGA
rnacentral:rRNA from 1 species